UCCCUGGUAGCUCAGAUGGUAAAGAAUCAGCCUGCAGUGCAGAAGACCUGGGUUCGAUCCCUGGGUAGGGAA
rnacentral:tRNA from 1 species